GCCAAAAACAAAGCUUGGAUCCAGUCACAAAUAGUUUUAAUGCGAUAGGAACCGUUUACAGUUUCAGGUGGUGCGAGAAAUUGGAAAGACGUGUAAAAUCAUGCUGCGCCCAGCUCACCCCAAAUUGAAUUGGUGCAGGAGGAUGAUGAUAAUGUUUGGUACAUCAUAUGAGGACUAAUAUUAAAAUAUUUGUUUACUA